rnacentral:rRNA from 1 species
AUUGAACGCUGGCGGCAUGCCUUACACAUGCAAGUCGAACGGUAACGCGGGGCAACCUGGCGACGAGUGGCGAACGGGUGAGUAAUGUAUCGGAACGUGCCCAGUUGUGGGGGAUAACUGCUCGAAAGAGCAGCUAAUACCGCAUACGACCUGAGGGUGAAAGCGGGGGAUCGCAAGACCUCGCGCAAUUGGAGCGGCCGAUAUCAGAUUAGGUAGUUGGUGAGGUAAAGGCUCACCAAGCCGACGAUCUGUAGCUGGUCUGAGAGGACGACCAGCCACACUGGGACUGAGACACGGCCCAGACUCCUACGGGAGGCAGCAGUGGGGAAUUUUGGACAAUGGACGCAAGUCUGAUCCAGCCAUGCCGCGUGCGGGAAGAAGGCCUUCGGGUUGUAAACCGCUUUUGUCAGGGAAGAAACGCUCUGGGUUAAUACCUCGGGGUAAUGACGGUACCUGAAGAAUAAGCACCGGCUAACUACGUGCCAGCCGCCGCGGUAAAAC